UAUGAUAGUUUUUGUGAUUACUAAAAACAUCUAAAUUGAUAUUUUUGGAAAAGGAUUUAUCCCACUAAUUUCUCCAGGGACUAGAAGUAAGCAGUGCAGAUUUUUAAAGACUCCUUUUUGAGAGAAUGAGAGAAGACUGGAGCUUUUUGAUCUAGAGAACACCUGAAUUGUAACUAAUCAAAAAAACAGUAUAAUUGGGAUGAGUAAAUUAAUGAAGACAAUCACCUGGGUUGAAAUUAACUGUAAGCUUGGGAAAGUAAGCUUAUAGGUAUGAUCAUCAAGAAAUGCUACUGAGCCAGUGAUCCAAUGGCCAGUGACUGCAGGUGGUUUGUCUCAUGAGGAAACUGGGAGAAUGACUCUGAAGGCAUUGGCUGAAGCAAAAGUAUCCUGAUUUAAUUUCCCGGUAUACUAUUUCCUCUUGAACCGAAAGUUUCCUCUCUGGAUGACUAUUCUCCCUUCGGCCUACUGUUGGAAGUAUCUAAAUCAAUUACCUGGAUAGAGGUAAAAAGGAAUAUGGGGGAAAAAUGCAAAUUCUCUGGUCAAGAGGAUCCUAAUUUGAUGUUUUUAUUAGAGAUAUAAGGUUUGGACUAGUUAUUACCACAUUACCUGGUUAUUGCCAAAGCAAACUUGAAGUGACUAUAUUGAAGUGCAUUAAGAUCUAUUUAUAAGAUAUUUUAACAGAAAUGAGCAUCUCUGCAAGUGAUCCGAACUGAAGAAGCAGAUGCACUAGAAAAAGCUCCUCUGAAAUCCCACCUAGGUCAGAAUGCAUAAGAAGAAAGUCCAGAGGAUUGAGUUAGUAGCUGCUCUCAAAAACCAUACAAUUGUGUAAGGGAAAAAAAAAAUCUACGCGAUGAUGAUGGACUAAUUGAAUGAAGAGUGGGAAUGGGUUACUGAGAAAGAAACUGCACCAUUCAUUGUUCUUUGUAAGAUCUCUGCUAAAAGCGACUGCCCCCAACAACUCUUGUCAAUGCACUGGUCAGUCUCUCCCCCUCUUCUUCUUGUGUUAUUUUCCAUCAUAAACUCCAUGAUUAAAAAUCCUUAAUGAAGUGUUUGUCAUAUCAGUUAGUGAUUCAUGGAGGAAACUGCAUUUCUCAAGUGAAAGGGGAGAAUGAGGAAAAAUUAAUUUUAUUAUAACUAAUUACUAAUUUGCAAUUUACCCUUUUCCUCAUUUCUGUUAAGAUUCAAUUUCUGAAAAGGCCAUUCUCUGAAGAACAUGAAUGAUUAUUAUUCCUAGUUCCCCAAGGCACAUGCUUAUUAAUGAGGUUCCCAAUUGGGAAACCUAAUUUCUGUUUAGAGUGUACAGAAUCCAGUCAAGGUAGACUUUGCCUUGGGGAAGAAUCCCCUGACUUUGAUCCCCUCCAUUAGAGUUUAGGGCAACCCAGCUUAUGAAGGAGAAAACUAACCAGAAAACUCUGGAUUAAAAUGGCUUUUUCUGCCCAGAGGUUUUGAGGCUUCAGGGUCAUGAUCAAACUACAUUCUCAGCAGAAAGAACUGAAGAUUAAAAGUCUACUUUAUUCU